UGCCUUCGGGAACUGUGAGACAGGUGCUGCAUGGCUGUCGUCAGCUCGUGUUGUGAAAUGUUGGGUUAAGUCCCGCAACGAGCGCAACCCUUAUCCUUUGUUGCCAGCGGUCCGGCCGGGAACUCAAAGGAGACUGCCAGUGAUAAACUGGAGGAAGGUGGGGAUGACGUCAAGUCAUCAUGGCCCUUACGACCAGGGCUACACACGUGCUACAAUGGCAUAUACAAAGAGAAGCGACCUCGCGAGAGCAAGCGGACCUCAUAAAGUAUGUCGUAGUCCGGAUUGGAGUCUGCAACUCGACUCCAUGAAGUCGGAAUCGCUAGUAAUCGUAGAUCAGAAUGCUACGGUGAAUACGUUCCCGGGCCUUGUACACACCGCCCGUCACACCAUGGGAGUGGGUUGCAAAAGAAGUAGGUAGCUUAACCUUCGGGAGGGCGCUUACCACUUUGUGAUUCAUGACUGGGGUGAAGUCGUAACAAGGUAACCGUAGGGGAACCUGCGGUUGGAUCACCUCCUUACCUUAAAGAA
rnacentral:rRNA from 1 species